AUGGAGGUCCCCGGCCCCGUCGUCGCGCUCACCCCCGGUCAGGUGUCCUUUCUGCUUGGUCUUUUCCCGGUCCUCGUCGCAUGGAUCUACUCCGAGCUCCUGCACUACAAGAAGAAACCUUCGUCGACGCACGGGCCACGGAACAGAUCUACCAAAGCCAAUUUAAUACGGUUUAUAACAAUGGACGAGUCGUUUCUGCUUGAGAACCGUGAUGUGUUGAGAGCCAUGGCCGAAUGUGGCAUUAUGCUGGUUUAUUUUUACAUUUGUGACCGGACAGACAUAUUUCCACAGAGCAACAAGAACUACAGCCGCGACCUGUUUAUGUUUCUGUACAUUCUUCUCAUCAUAGCAUCGACACUUACUUCACUUAAGAAGCACCAGGAUGUAUCUGUAUUUUCUGGAAAGUCCAUACUCUAUCUUAAUCGCCACCAAACUGAGGAAUGGAGAGGCUGGAUGCAGGUCUUAUUUCUGAUGUACCACUAUUUUGGUGCAUCGGAAAUAUACAAUGCAAUUCGUGUUUUCAUUGCUUGCUAUGUUUGGUUGACUGGGUUUGGGAAUUUCUCAUACUACUAUACCAAGAAAGAUUUUAGCAUUGCAAGAUUUGCUCAGAUGAUGUGGAGGCUAAAUUUCUUUGUUGCCUUCUGUUGCAUUGUCCUUGACAAUGAUUUUAUGUUGUAUUAUAUCUGCCCAAUGCACACCCUAUUUACACUCAUGGUGUAUGGGACACUUGGUCUGUUUAACAAGUAUAAUGAGAUACCAUCAGUUAUGGCUAUCAAAAUUGCUUGCUCCUUCUUGAGUGUCAUUUUGAUAUGGGAAGUUCCUGGGGUAUUCAAUGUUUUGUGGAGCCCCUUUACGUUUUUGCUUGGCUAUAAAGACCCAAAUCCUUCCAAGUCACACUUACCAUUGUUGCACGAGUGGCAUUUUCGAUCUGGGCUUGAUCGAUACAUAUGGAUUAUUGGAAUGAUUUAUGCUUAUUUCCACCCUAAUGUGGAAAGAUGGAUGGAGAAGCUGGAAGAAUCUAAGACUAAGGUUAGGAUGUCGAUCAAGGGCACCAUUGUGACUAUUUCUAUCAUGGCGGGCUAUCUAUGGUAUGAAUAUAUCUAUAAGCUGGACAAAAUUACGUACAACAAGUACCAUCCCUACACGUCAUGGAUUCCUAUCACCGUGUAUAUUUGUAUGCGCAAUUGCACCCAACAGUUGAGGGGUGCCUCUCUAGCUCUUUUCACUUGGCUUGCAAGGUCACGCUUGAGACUUACAUUUUUCUCAGUUCCACAUCUGGCUCAGGUCUAG
rnacentral:rRNA from 1 species